GUACUCACUUCAGCAGCACAUAUACUAAAAUUGGAACAAUACAGGGAUCAUCAUGGCCCCUGCACAAGGAUGACACGCAAAUUCAUAAAGUGUUUUAUAUUUUU